AAUAAAAUGGCCGAAGAUUAAGGUAUAAGAUUGUAAAUCUUAUAAUGAGUUAAUAACUCUUUUAUUA
rnacentral:tRNA from 1 species